rnacentral:lncRNA from 1 species
GAACAGUCGGCGAAGGCGGGCAGAUCGAAGAUGGCCACACAAUACAUAUACUCUUCUGUAUUGGUCAAUUCAACAACACUGUCUUGAACCAAAUUGGAUUUAUAAUUUCCGACACGAUAUUACGUACGGGCAUAACUAGAUUGAUUCGGCUAGGGUCAAUCAAUUUCUUUUAUCUGAUAUACGGCUUUAACCUAGACGACAUUUUGCGGUCUAAAGACGAUCUAGCACUUUAGUUAUGCGGUGUACCCAAUGACUUUAUUAUCCUCUCUUCUUUGGUUCAGUACAAAUUUUAAAGGCUUAAUUAGUCACCGGUUCGAAGCCGAAAAGGGUGGAGAACGUUCGGCUUAAGCGAUAUGCUCGCACACUUGUGUAUACGUAUAUGUAUACACACAUUUAUAUCAUAUAUCUACGUAUACUGUAUAUACAUUCAAGCCGUUAACGUAUAAUGUCUUCUUGAAUCCAGUUUCUUUUUCGAUUAAGACGGAGCAAGCUGCAGAUUGAAGCAUCAUCAUUAGCAAGAAACUGAGCUGAGAAGACCUUUGAAAUAAUGUUGUCAGACGAAGACAAAAAUACAUACAAAUAUGUAUGUAUGUAUACAUAGGAAGGAAGCAGACAAAAAAAGAGGCAAUAACAAAACAAAGGGAAUGCUUUUUGGACCUUUAUAACGAGCCCCACAGACACAGCUGUAUCGUCUCGAUUCGCAAGAUGUGAUCCAGAAAGGAGAAAAUAUAUAAAUAUUAGUAAGAUCUUAGUAGAUCUUAGUGUGUGAUAAGUUCGAAUUGAUUGCUGUAAGAGCCCCAGAGUAAGCGAAUAAGCU